rnacentral:rRNA from 1 species
ACUACGGGGGGCAGCAGUGGGGGAUAUUGCACAAUGGGGGGAACCCUGAUGCAGCGACGCCGCGUGGGUGAAGAAGCGCCUCGGCGCGUAAAGCCCUGUCAGCAGGGAAGAAAAUGACGGUACCUGAAGAAGAAGCCCCGGCUAACUACGUGCCAGCAGCCGCGGUAAUACGUAGGGGGCACGCGUUAUCCGGAUUUACUGGGUGUAAAGGGGGCGCAGACGGCGAUGCAAGCCAGGAGUGAAAGCCCGGGGCCCAACCCCGGGACUGCUCUUGGAACUGCGUGGCUGGAGUGCAGGAGGGGCAGGCGGAAUUCCUGGUGUAGCGGUGAAAUGCGUAGAUAUCAGGAGGAACACCGGUGGCGAAGGCGGCCUGCUGGACUGCAACUGACGUUGAGGCCCGAAAGCGUGGGGAGCAAACAGGAUUAGAUACCCCUGUAGUC